UACGUAGGGGGCAAGCGUUGUCCGGAAUUAUUGGGCGUAAAGCGCGCGCAGGCGGUUAUUUAAGUCUGGUGUUUAAUCCUGGGGCUCAACCCCAGUUCGCAUCGGAAACUGGAUGACUUGAGUGUAGGAGAGGAAAGUGGAAUUCCAUGUGUAGCGGUGAAAUGCGUAGAGAUGUGGAGGAACACCAGUGGCGAAGGCGACUUUCUGGCCUAUAACUGACGCUGAGGCACGAAAGCCUGGGGAGCGAACGGG
rnacentral:rRNA from 1 species